rnacentral:rRNA from 1 species
GACGAACGCUGGCGGCAUGCCUAAUACAUGCAAGUCGAACGCUUUUGUUUCACCGGGUGCUUGCACCCACCGAGACAAAAGAGUGGCGGACGGGUGAGUAACACGUGGGUAACCUGCCCAUAAGAGGGGGAUAACAUCCGGAAACGGAUGCUAAUACCGCAUAUUUCCAAUUGUCUCCUGACAGAUGGAAAAAAGGUGGCUUCGGCUACCGCUUAUGGAUGGACCCGCGGCGUAUUAGCUAGUUGGUGAGGUAAUGGCUCACCAAGGCGAUGAUACGUAGCCGACCUGAGAGGGUGAUCGGCCACACUGGGACUGAGACACGGCCCAGACUCCUACGGGAGGCAGCAGUAGGGAAUCUUCCGCAAUGGACGAAAGUCUGACGGAGCAAUGCCGCGUGAGUGAAGAAGGUUUUCGGAUCGUAAAACUCUGUUGUUAGAGAAGAACAAGGAUGAGAGUAACUGCUCAUCCCCUGACGGUAUCUAACCAGAAAGCCACGGCUAACUAC